UGCAGCAGUGACUCUGACUAAAUGGAAAUUCUUGGAUCUCCCAGAACCCUGAGGCUUUCUGAUCAUGAUAUGUCUCUGUGGCUCUAAACUGAAACAAUCGGAGCAUGAUCAGUUUGAAUAAAUAAACCACACGGUU